CAGAACGUGGCCAAGCAAGAAACAGCGUCUCCCUUACACCGAGAAAGUGUCCGUGCAAAUCGGACCGUUCUGC
rnacentral:tRNA from 1 species